GGGUAGAGACGCUAGGCCGGCACUGCCUAGGUGGGCCGGGCGGUGCGAGGGUCGCCUUUCAGCCUUUACCUCUACCCACUGAAAUGGAGUAGGUCGGUGAGCGCCGAUCUGCUGGAGAAUCUCAUUAUCCCAUCGGCGCUCUGCCUGCUCCUGGCCUCCAAGCCUCUGAAGCCCCUCGGGUUUCAGCUGCCGGCUACCCUCGAGCCCGUGGUGCCCACGAGAGAGGCGACUUUACGUCAGCGGCCCUGGGCUGAGAUUUGAGAACGCGACCAAGUGGAGAAUGUUGGAGCCAGAUUUUAAAAUCCUUGUCUUCCUUCUGCGUGCUACUUGAUCUAAAUGAGAUACGGCAAAGUCACAGAACCUGUUUUUAUGUUUUUGCCUGAUUCAUACGGGCUUCUCCGGUGAAGAUGGGCCUGAAGUAACGCUUGGGUUGCUUCUGACGUUAUAACUCAUCCUGUAGCUGCAGCAACCGUGGUCCUUGCAACCUCAUAAAAAUGUUGCCAGCAUUGUUUCGAUAGUGCUGCUUAAUUCUUGGAAGGCCUCUUUGCUUUCUUCCCUGAGGUUCUUCGGACUUCACACAUUCCAGCAGUAGCUCUCUCAGCUCCUGUCCUGCACAGCUUUGAAGUGCUGGUGAUGUCAUUGAACUCUUAAGUGCAAGAUGAAACAAGUCUUUCUGGGGUUCUAAGUAGCGUCUUCAAAGUGUCUUCUGUAAAGACUUCUUCAGACUGUCAAUAGGAAGACUGAUAAACUCAGAGUCUAGCCCUGUCGCCCAGGCUGGAGUGCCAUGGUUUGAACUCUACUCACCGCAACCUCCACCUCCCAGGUUCAAAUGAUUCUCCUGCCUCAGCCUCCUGAAUAUCUGGGAUUACAGGUGUCUUUGUGAAGCUUCCUAUCUUUGCUUUUCAACUAAGAUGAAACAGCAUUUAAAAGAAAAUGCCAUGUGAGAUGAGAUCAGGAGAAUGGAUUCUUUCUUUCAUCUGAAUAGAGAGCUGCUGUUCGAGAUUCUAACUCAAAUAGCUCAAAGGACACCUUCUCCGGGAAACCUUCCCUGACUUCCGACGCUGUUUCCUGUUGGGCAUCUAUGUAAAUCAUUUGGAGUUUUUGCCUUUCCUCUUAGAAGAAAAAUAUGAAUGAUUUGACUGAACAGGCCUAUAGCCAAACCCAAGAUGAUCUUUCCAAGCGUGAACUCCAUCUUCAAACUUCUAAUCUUAAACCUUAAAGAAGAAACUAUGGCAAUGUCUCUUCCACCACUCUUGACUAGCAUGAUGUGUUGCCAAAAGACUUCAGAUCAUAAGUGCGAAAUAAAAAAUCAAAAAUUGACUGCAUCUUUUCUCAUUGCUCAACAACUGUCAAACAACUGAGAAAUUUGUUUUGGAUGAAGCAGUAACAUUCCUUCUUCCACUCCCAGCCCCAUUCCACGUAGUCUGCAGUUCCUCACUGACCACUGAUUGAUGUCAACGUGCAAACUCUCAGACAGAAGACAAGAAAUAUGUCCUGGGUUUUCUGGUUCCUCAAGCUUCUGACUAGGACCAGAGCCAGCAAUUACACACACUUAUCCCUAUUCUUUCCAUGAAUGCAGAGAAAGAAAGACCUUCUUGGGCUGUAAGAAAUACUCUAUUCCUCACACAUAAUAACUAAGGCUCAGCAGCUUGUAAAAAGGCAUGGUCCAGGGCAUGUCAGGACAAGGAAGAGCGGUAAGUUGUUUCUCUGUCUUUCCUCUGUAUUCUUUCAUAAUUGGGACAAGGCCUCAGCUGACAAGGAGCUGGCAGAACACUGGGGACAGCUGGUAUGUAAGAACCAACACCGUCCCAUCAGUCAUUUAUUCAACACAUGUUUAUUGAGUAUCUGCAACGUGACUGCACCGUUAUAGAGUCUGCAUUGUUGUAGGUCCUGAGAAAAAAACUGCAAAGCAAAAGUACACACAGGCUUGCCCUCCUGAAAUGUACAGUCAGGUGGAGAUGGCAGAUAUUAAGAAACUAACUUGUGCUAUUGAAGUUUAAAAGAAAGGGAUCUUACUGAGUCUGAGGAGAGGGAUGAAUCAAUGCAGACUUCCUAGAAGAACUGGCAUAUAAACCAAGAACUGAAAGAGGAAUAGACAUUAAACCAGAAAACAGAAUGGAAGAAAAAUAGAUUUACGAUGCAAAAACCGUAAAGGAAAGAGUUCAGUAUGACUGGAAUAUAUAGACAGAAGAUAAUGGUUUAUGAUAAGACUGAAAAGGAAUGCAGGGUCUAGAUAAAGAGACUCUUCAAAUUAGUAAGAAUUUUUUUGAGACAAUAAAAGACCAUUUUGCUUUGGCAAAAUAAUAAUAAUAAUAACACUCAGUGUAGUGUGAACUAUAAAUUUAGGAGAGCAAGAGUAAUUGUGGGGAAAUCAGUUAAGAGACUUGCUUUAGCCAAGAAAACAGUUGAUGUUGGAUUAAACCAUGGAGAAGAUAAUGGAGAUAAUGACAAGUGGACAGAUUUUGGAAAUCAAUAUCUUUUGGUAAUUAAUUGAACAUAGGAGAAAGAAGAAAAGAUGGGGUUACAUAGGACUCUGAAAUUUCUGAACAAUCAGCUGGGAAGAUGAUAGCAUUAUUUGUUGUGUAAAGAACAUGAGAAGAGGCUCGGGAUUGGAAGGACACAUGAGGAGCUCUGGUUUUGACACAGUGAGUGUGGUAUAUGGGCUCUCACUUACGUGGGUCUAGAGCUAAGAAGAGAAGUCAUGGGUUGGACGCAAAAGUGUGGGUUUUGGCAGCAUUUAGGUAGUAAAAAUUUGGCAAAUGGUUAAGAGUAUAUUACAGGAAAAGAAAAUAAUUUAGGUCAGAGUCCAGAGGAAAGCAUACAUUUAACACAGAAGAAUAAAACCUGAGAAAUAACUGGUAAACGAGAUUAGGAAGCAGUCAGAGAGGAAGAAAGCCAGGAGGAUACGGUGUGGCAUGGAAGCCAAUGGAGAGAUUGUUUCAAGAAGAAGAAGAUAGUUAACAGUAGGGAAUUAUCAACAUAGAGAUUAAGAAAUGUGGAUUUACCAAUAAGGAGGACAUUCGUGUUCUUCAAAAUGAAAACCAGAGAAGAGGUAAAAGCAAAAAAAAAAAAAAAAAAUUGUCAAGAGGCAAGAACAGAACUUGAAAGAGAAUACCAGGAAACCAUGGAAAGUGAAGAUAGACUUAGAGAGUAUGGUCAAAAGUUAGGACAGAGAAAUCAGAUGAGCUGAUCUGAAAUCCAGAAACUAUUCAUGGAGAACACACCCCAGGCGAGUGACUUUUGAAAGUCCUUUCCUUUAUACUUACCUAUAUUAAUUGCUGAAUGUAAAAAUAUCAUAUUUUAAUUAUUUAUUACCAAAAUAAUGUAUUUCCUUGUGGAAUAACUUAAAAAAUGUAGAAGAGUAAAGAAAUGAUCCAUAUUCUUCGCAUAAAAAGAAAAACAAUAUUGAUGUUUGCUCUUUCCAUCAGAAUUGUCCAAAUAAAUAAUCAUUCUAUACACAUUACUUUGAAAUAUGUUUUCUUUGCAUAAUAUUUUAGCAUAACCAAUUAUAUUUUAUUAUAAGUUGGGU
ensembl:lncRNA HULC hepatocellular carcinoma up-regulated long non-coding RNA